AUUGAACGCUGGCGGCAUGCUUUACACAUGCAAGUCGAACGGUAACAGGGAGCUUGCUCCGCUGACGAGUGGCGAACGGGUGAGUAAUGCGUCGGAACGUGCCGAGUAGUGGGGGAUAACGCAUCGAAAGGUGUGCUAAUACCGCAUACGAACUGAGGUUGAAAGUGGGGGACCUUCGGGCCUCACGCUAUUCGAGCGGCCGACGUCUGAUUAGCUAGUUGGUGAGGUAAAGGCUCACCAAGGCGACGAUCAGUAGCGGGUCUGAGAGGAUGAUCCGCCACACUGGGACUGAGACACGGCCCAGACUCCUACGGGAGGCAGCAGUGGGGAAUUUUGGACAAUGGGCGCAAGCCUGAUCCAGCCAUGCCGCGUGUCUGAAGAAGGCCUUCGGGUUGUAAAGGACUUUUGUCCGGGAGGAAAUCCCCAGCGUUAAUACCGCUGGGGGAUGACAGUACCUGAAGAAUAAGCACCGGCUAACUACGUGCCAGCAGCCGCGGUAAAAC
rnacentral:rRNA from 1 species